UACGGGGGGGGCAAGCGUUGUUCGGAAUUACUGGGCGUAAAGGGCUCGUAGGUGGCCAACUAAGUCAGACGUGAAAUCCCUCGGCUUAACCGGGGGAACUGCGUCUGAUACUGGAUGGCUUGAGGUUGGGAGAGGGAUGCGGAAUUCCAGGUGUAGCGGUGAAAUGCGUAGAUAUCUGGAGGAACACCGGUGGCGAAGGCGGCAUCCUGGACCAAUUCUGACGCUGAGGAGCGAAAGCCAGGGGAGCAAACGGG
rnacentral:rRNA from 1 species